GACGAACGCUGGUGGCGUGCUUAACACAUGCAAGUCGAGCGGUAAGGCCCUUCGGGGUACACGAGUGGCGAACGGGUGAGUAACACGUGGGUGAUCUGCCCUGCACUUUGGGAUAAGCCUGGGAAACUGGGUCUAAUACCGGAUAGGACCACGGCCUGCAUGGGUUGUGGUGGAAAGCUUUUGCGGUGUGGGAUGGGCCCGCGGCCUAUCAGCGUGUUGGUGGGGUGAUGGCCUACCAAGGCGACGACGGGUAGCCGGCCUGAGAGGGUGUCCGGCCACACUGGGACUGAGAUACGGCCCAGACUCCUACGGGAGGCAGCAGUGGGGAAUAUUGCACAAUGGGCGCAAGCCUGAUGCAGCGACGCCGCGUGGGGGAUGACGGCCUUCGGGUUGUAAACCUCUUUCACCAGGGACGAAGCGCAAGUGACGGUACCUGGAGAAGAAGCACCGGCCAACUACGUGCCAGCAGCCGCGGUAA
rnacentral:rRNA from 1 species